GGGGGAUUGACUCACGCCAUAUUGGAAUGCCAUGUGGAGCCAGGGCGAAGUUCCCACAAGCUUCCUCUCUAGUCAUAUUUAAGACCCGUUUUGCUCGGGAAGAAUUGGGGAAGGCGCUAUAAGCCCUCUUUCAAUAAAUGGGGGAACCGGCGUGCCCCCUAAUUGGGACAAAGGCCAGUCAUAGUGGUGCCAUGACGUCACUCAGCGGCGCUGUAAGCUCCUGUGACGUCACUCCUGCCAGUGCAAGGCAGUCAACUUUUGGGGAGAAAUGGAGGAGGAGCUACCACAACCUGCAGGGUGAAAGCCUCAGGGUGAUAUGUCCAGCAAGAAUUCAGCAGCAUCUGAGACAGAAAGCGAAUGGGAGUUUCAUUCUGCAUAUGGAGAAGAAAGUACUGUACAUACCAGCAGAGACUUGGUUGACUCUGGUAGUGAAUGUGAUCUUUUUCUUCAUCCCAAUGGUCAGCACAUUGUAUUUGAAAAACAGAAAGGAAAAAGCAAACUUGGGAAGGUAGUCCUGACCUUGGAAAACAACAAAACCAACCUUACAGAUUGUUGCAAACACUGUCCCCUGCUGCAAGCACAAAGCAUUAGUAACACUGGAGAGUUUGAGGUGGAAUUGCCUCCAGAAUCUGUAGUGCAUCUAUAUUUUGAGGACAGUGAUACAAGUGAUCAUUCAUCAAAAGUUUAUUCAACUAAAAUACUCCAAUCGGAACCUGGUGGAUCUAGAGAUGAGUUCCGUUUAAACUGUAAAAUCCCUCAUGUGCUUAGUACUGACAAUUCAGUAGUUAGAGAAACCUUUAAUUCAGUAAAGAAAGCUGGGUUCAAUAAGCUAUAUCAGAAGCAAUCUUCAGUUGACUAUUCCCAAGGUUCCAAGCACAACAAAGCUGUACAAGUUUCCUUUCCUUGUAGGGAAACAGAAGCUGGAGAAAAUUUUGUCAAUGAAUAUUCUAAACAAUCAUCAGCACACACCAAUGUAAAGAAAAUAUUAGUCAGGAAAUCUGAAAUAUUUCACAGUGUUGAAAGCCAACUGACAGAUAACCAUUCUUACAAAACUGACAGUCCCCAAACUACUGAGCAAGUCUAUUACCCUUCCACUUCAGGAGAACUUGUAAUUUCUCUCACUUUGGAAGCAGAUUAUUUAAAUCCCAAUGUUUCAUUAGCAGGCAAUGUUAUUUCUUCAGAAGACAGAGUAAGAAAAGAAGAAUCGCAGAAACAUGAUAAAUGCUUCGCCUUUAAAUGUAAAGGUGGCCAACAAAACCAGCUGUUGAAGAAACUGCAUAUUUCUGUUGUCCCUUGUCCUGUUCAAGUAGAUGCAGGAACACAAAAACACAUCACACCUACAAAGCAGGUAGGGUGUUCAGAUAUCUUAGCUGCUGAAACUAGUGAAUUUUUAGCUGUUGAUGCAAAAUCAUCCAAAAUUAGCCAAUCUCUGGCAAAAUCUUCCAAAUCGAGUUGUUCAAGCUUUCAUUCUAAUCAAGGGCUAUCUACACAUAAACUUCGGGGUCCCUGUCAGUUCUUUCCACCCACUAAAUACGUACAUGCAUAUCAUUCUCCUCACAUUUGUGUGUGGUCAUUUCCUGAUUAUAAAACUACAUCUACUCUUAAGACUUCUGAAGUUAAGAAAAAGCAUCCAAAGGCCUCCAGAUGUGUGAAAUCUUUUGUGUUUACUAAAAACAAAGAAGCACAAAAAAGUAAACCAUUUAGACAUAUCUGCAGAUUUCAUCGAUCUAAGGCAUUGAACUUUGACUCUAUAAACAAAAAUACUCAAAAGGCAAAAGAAGUAAGUGAACUGUAUUAUGUGCCCCUAACACAAGCUACUAAGUGUUACUGUUGUCCAUUAUUUGAUGAGACUGUAAACCUGAAUCCUGCAGGGAGAGAUUCUGAGAACCAUCUACGUGUUCACAGAAAACCUUACAAGCGAACUGGAGGUGUAAAAGUAGUUCCUAGAUUUUCCUCUUACUGUCUUUUAGUUCCUGUAAGCGAACUUGAGAGGUUGCAAUACAUUUCUCCAGUAAGAAGAAAAAAUAAUUUGAAGAUGCAGAACAUACUGAACUAUUGGUUAGGAUGGACUGGACAGAGCCCAGAGAAAGACUCUAAAGGGGAGGUUUGUAUCACUCCAAAUAGUUCAAAAGGUCCUUAUUUUUCAGCUGAUGGAAGGACUUCUAUUGCUCCACUUUCCCCAAACUUGAGGAGUAUUUCAGUGCCAUUUUCUCCUACACUGCCUCUUUCAAAUGAGAGAAGUUCUCCUCCUUGUUUGCAAACUGAGAGGAGUCCCAGAGCAUUAUAUCUUCUUCCAAAGGACCAGAGGCAGCCACCUGCCACCUGCAUGCAAACUAACAGAGCCACUUGGAGUCCUGGAACAUCAUCUUCAGAUGGCAGAUGCAAUAUGCCUUAUUUUCCUUGUGAAAAUACUGUUAAAGUAGAGGGGUCACAAAAAGAAAGAAAUAAGUUUACAAAUACAGGUGUGGAAAAGUUGUAUUGUGGAACUAACCAUAUGUCUUCUGGGGGUUCCUCUCCUAAGAAGCCCCCAGUCUGCUCAUGUGGGGCUAUGUUACAAUGUGGCUUAUUCCCUAAUGAAGAGAUUUCAGAGAUAAUUAAGAAAACUAGAGCAAGCCCAGAUAUUCACCAGAGAAAGAGUGAGACUGAAUCGGACAGGAUGAGAUCACCUAUGGGAAGCUUUAACACAGGGGGUGCCUGCUGUGCUAGCUGCCAUCAUGGCUUCCCACCCUGUUCUUUUUACAACACAAAAGGACAAGGACCUUCAAGAAAUCAAAUAGUUAAAGUAGCAUCCUUCUUUGAGAAUGAAUUUCCCCCAACAAAUCUGAAAGAGGAUGUAAGGAAAAGCAAAGCAGUGAAGCCAGAUGAAAGCAAAAAUAUCAGGUUCCCUGUUGGGUCAGGUUCUUUGCAAGGGUGCCCAUUUAACACAUACCCUACAUCACCCCAGAAUGAUGGCUUUGAGACACUGAAACACUACCACCCUGAGUGCCCAUACUGCAGGUCUGUGACUCAAGAACAUCAUAUCGCAUCAGAAGAACAUAAAAGACAGAACAGCUGCAUAAACAGGAAAAGCAUUUUUCUAGUGGAUUGUGGCCAGGAGAUCAGAAGCCAAUGCAAAUGUUCCCAAGAAAUCCCACUUUUCAGAAUUCGUCAUGUUGAUACACAUAAUGGAAACAGAGUUGCAAUUUCCACACAAAAGAAACUUGACUGUCAGGAUUCAUCAGAGAUUAAUGAUGACCGGAAAAGGCUUCAUGGGAACCACAAAUGUUGCCACAGCAGUGUUCAGUAUGGUCAUUUGCAGUGAGAAGUCAUGUUGAAAUGUUCGUGAAUGUUGGUGCUUGCUUCACAGAGGACCUCGACAAAUAAAGCAUGCCGAAAUACAAUUUUAUGGGUUCUAGCGAUUCUCACUCUUUGCAAUGAGAGAAAAUGAAUCUUAAAAGGAUGCAUUACACAAACCUUCAAAAUUAAGGGUCAUAAAACCUUUUCAAAAACUUAAAUUAAGGGUCAUAAAACCUUUUCAAAAACUUACAGUGGUUUUAUAGGAAUUUUGCAUUCACUUAUUUUUUCACAAGGUGCUUUGACAUUUUUAUUUUGUAAUAUGUAACUCAGUAAGAUUUAUUUUGAGAGUAAAAUAUAAACAGUAAGAAAAGGGUUAGAGUAGACUUUCAGAACACGUAAUUCACUGAUCCGUAACCAAAAAUCCAUUCAAAAGCACUAAAAGAAAUUGCCUUGAAUCUCAACAUCUAUACUUAAUCAAAACUGAAUAACAACUAAAUUUAUAUAAAUAUGAAUUUGUGAAAGAGCUAUGUGGUAUUGAAAGCUACACUAUUUUUAAAAGUUUUCAUCACAGGCUGAUGAAGAUUAAGUGUUUCUGCAGCAAAUAGUAACACGACAGUCCGGUUCCCGCCCACCUAGGAGCAAAUCCUACUUAAUGUAUUUUAGACAUAACAAGCCCUCUUCUCACUAAAUGCCAGAAUGAUACUCUGUAAGAGCAAAAGCAACAUCAAGUGUAAAAUUCAUGGAGUAGACCAUACAAGGUCAGAUGCUUUGCACUAGUCCUGCAGAGUGGUUCUGGUGUGUUGUUGUUUAUUCAUUCAGUCGUUUCCGACUCUUUGUGACCUCGUGGACCAGUCCACGUCAGAGCUUCCUGUCGGCCGUCACCGCCCCCAGUUCCUUCAAGGUCAAUCCAGUCACUUCAAGGAUACCGUCCAUCCAUCACGCCCUUGGUCGACCUCUCUUCCUUUGUUCUUCCAUUUGCCCCAGCAUCACGAUCUUUUCC
rnacentral:lncRNA from 11 species